rnacentral:rRNA from 1 species
UACGGAGGGAGCUAGCGUUGUUCGGAAUUACUGGGCGUAAAGCGCACGUAGGCGGCUUUGUAAGUUAGAGGUGAAAGCCCGGGGCUCAACUCCGGAACUGCCUUUAAGACUGCAUCGCUUGAAUCCGGGAGAGGUGAGUGGAACUCCGAGUGUAGAGGUGAAAUUCGUAGAUAUUCGGAAGAACACCAGUGGCGAAGGCGGCUCACUGGACCGGUAUUGACGCUGAGGUGCGAAAGCGUGGGGAGCAAACAGG